UACGGAGGGUGCGAGCGUUGUCCGGAAUCACUGGGCGUAAAGGGCGCGUAGGCGGCUGGGGAAGUCGGCGGUGAAAGCCCGGAGCUCAACUCCGGGUCGGCCGUCGAGACUCCUCGGCCCGAGCUCACUAGAGGCAGAUGGAAUUCCGGGUGUAGCGGUGGAAUGCGUAGAGAUCCGGAAGAAUACCGGUGGCGAAGGCGGUCUGCUGGGGUGAGGCUGACGCUGAUGCGCGACAGCGUGGGGAGCAAACAGG
rnacentral:rRNA from 1 species